rfam:Brassica napus, WGS project CCCW01000000 data, contig: 3570
GAUGAUGCGAUGAUUGUAAAAGUAAUUCCUCGUACUGAAUAGCCACUAGGCUUUGUAGACUCACAUUACACCCAUAGAAUAUGAGCAUCU